rnacentral:lncRNA from 1 species
AUGAUGCUAAAGCUGAAANNNNNNNNNNNNNNNNNNNNNNNNNNNAUUGGGGGCAGGAGGAGAAGGGGACGACCGAGGAUGAGAUGGCUGGAUGGCAUCACGGACUCGAUGGACGUGAGUCUGAGUGAACUCUGGGAGCUGGUGAUGGACAGCGAGGCCUGGCGUGUUGCGAUUCAUGGGGUCGCAAAGAGUCGGACACGACGGAGCUGGAUGAUGACCCGAACGUCAUUGCCUCGGAGGUGCGAACGUUGUGAGCCAAGGCCUCCCAGCCCCGAGCACCUGACGGCCACGCCCAUACAAUGUCCCGCCCCUCAGCCCCGCCCACCUGGACUCAGGGUCCCUUGGGCCAGCACCGUAAAGAGGCCCCGCCCUGUGGCACCUCUGUCCCCCGACCCAAGGGAUGUUGUCAAGGGCGGUCCCGGAAGUGACGCAGGGACGCGCCCUCCAUUUUGUGGGACGCCAGAGCAGCUAAGUGCGUCAGUUGUGGAGAGACGUAGACGAGUUGAGUCCUGGUCUGCGGGGAGGCGGCCGGCUCUAUCGCAGACUACGGACCUCUCUGGGUCUCAGCUGCCAAAGAUCCUGUCCGGUAGGGACCCGGCCUAAUAAGAGGCACUCUUGGCAAUCUUGUUUAUAACAUCACCGG